rnacentral:rRNA from 1 species
GAUGAACGCUGGCGGCGUGCCUAAUACAUGCAAGUCGAGCGAACGGACGAGAAGCUUGCUCUUCUGAUGUUAGCGGCGGACGGGUGAGUAACACGUGGAUAACCUACCUAUAAGACUGGGAUAACUUCGGGAAACCGGAGCUAAUACCGGAUGAUAUCUUGAUCCGCAUGGUUCAAGAGUGAAAGACGGUCUUGCUGUCACUUAUAGAUGACUUUGCGCUGCAUUAGCUAGUUGGUAAGGUAACGGCUUACCAAGGCAACGAUGCAUAGCCGACCUGAGAGGGUGAUCGGCCACACUGGAACUGAGACACGGUCCAGACUCCUACGGGAGGCAGCAGUAGGGAAUCUUCCGCAAUGGGCGAAAGCCUGACGGAGCAACGCCGCGUGAGUGAUGAAGGUCUUCGGAUCGUAAAACUCUGUUAUUAGGGAAGAACAUAUGUGUAAGUAACUGUGCACAUCUUGACGGUACCUAAUCAGAAAGCCACGGCUAACUACGUG